GGUAUUGUUUUAUAUCACCCCACGAUAAGCCCCGGAAUCUUAUUGUGUAACAAGAUAUAGAAGCACGUA
rfam:Staphylococcus cohnii subsp. cohnii strain 073AN genome assembly, contig: ERS576551SCcontig000001